AUUGAACGCUGGCGGAAUGCUUUACACAUGCAAGUCGAACGGUAGAGGGGGCAACCCCUCGAGAGUGGCGAACGGGUGAGUAAUAUAUCGGAACGUGCCCAGUCGUGGGGGAUAACGUAGCGAAAGUUACGCUAAUACCGCAUACGAUCUAAGGGUGAAAGCGGGGGAUCGCAAGACCUCGCGCGAUUGGAGCGGCCGAUAUCAGAUUAGGUAGUUGGUGGGGUAAAGGCUCACCAAGCCAACGAUCUGUAGCUGGUCUGAGAGGACGACCAGCCACACUGGAACUGAGACACGGUCCAGACUCCUACAGGAGGCAGCGGUGGGGAAUUUUGGACAAGGGACGCAAGUCUGAUCCAGCCAUUCCGCGUGCAGGAUGAAGGCCCUCGGGUUGUAAACUGCUUUUGUACGGAACGAAAAGGUCUCUCUUAAUACGGGGGACUCAUGACGGUACCGUAAGAAUAAGCACCGGCUAACUACGUGCCAGCAGCCGCCGUAA
rnacentral:rRNA from 1 species